rnacentral:rRNA from 1 species
GACGAACGCUGGCGGCGUGCUUAACACAUGCAAGUCGAACGGAAAGGCCCUGCUUUUGUGGGGUGCUCGAGUGGCGAGCGGGUGAGUAACACGUGAGUAACCUGCCCUUGACUUUGGGAUAACUUCAGGAAACUGGGGCUAAUACCGGAUAGGAGCCCCUGCUGCAUGGUGGGGGUUGGAAAGUUUCGGCGGUUGGGGAUGGACUCGCGGCUUAUCAGCUUGUUGGUGGGGUAGUGGCUUACCAAGGCUUUGACGGGUAGCCGGCCUGAGAGGGUGACCGGCCACAUUGGGACUGAGAUACGGCCCAGACUCCUACGGGAGGCAGCAGUGGGGAAUAUUGCACAAUGGGCGGAAGCCUGAUGCAGCAACGCCGCGUGCGGGAUGACGGCCUUCGGGUUGUAAACCGCUUUCGCCUGUGACGAAGCGUGAGUGACGGUAAUGGGUAAAGAAGCACCGGCUAACUACGUG